UAAGGGUGCAGGGCGGAUGCCUUGGCACUAGGAGCCGAUGAAGGACGUGAUAAGCUGCGAUAAGCUUCGGGGAGUUGCACGUAAACUUUGAUCCGAAGAUUUCCGAAUGAGGAAACUCACUUAGAGUAAUGUCUAAGUAUCAUUAAGUGAAUACAUAGCUUAAUGAGGGGAACUCAGGGAACUGAAACAUCUAAGUACCUGAAGGAAGAGAAAGAAAUUCGAUUCCGUAAGUAGCGGCGAGCGAACGCGGAUUAGCC
rnacentral:rRNA from 1 species